GGUUGUUUAGAUGAUAAAGUAUACUUAAAAAAAAUAAGCAAUGGAUACUGUCAUACAUAAUGAUAAUGUAUCAUAACAAAAUUCAUUUUAUUCCAGUAAUGCAAAGUUGAUAUGAAAUUUGAAAAUCAAUUACUAUAUUUUAUCAUAUUAAUAGGAUAAAAGAGUAAGACCAUACAAUUAUCUCAACAGAGGAAGAAAAAGGAUUUGAUGAAAUUGUGUACCCAUGCAUGACAACAUUCUCAACUGACAAGAAAUAAAAGCAAUCAUUACUAUUCCGAUAAACCAUUUCUUUAAAAAGAAUCACAGUUAAUGGCGAACUAUUGAAAAAUUAUCUGUGCAGAUUGUGAGUGAGACAGAGAUGUCCAUGGUCAUCGCUUUUAGUUGGCAUUGUACGGAAGUAGUAGACAAUACAAUAAAGCAAGAAAAAGAAAUGAAAAUAUAAGAAUUGAAAAUGUGUAACGACAUUAUCACUACUAGCAGACAGUAU
rnacentral:lncRNA from 1 species